CACACUGAGACACUAGGAACACACUGGGAGACAUGGAGACACUGAAACAUUUGGGGACACUAAGACACUAGGGACACAGACACCGGGAGACUAGGGGACACCUGGAGACUAGGGGACACUGGGAGACUAGGGGACACUGGCUGGGAGACAGACACUUGGGGAGACAUGGGGACACUAGGCACACUGAGAGACAUGGGACACAGACACUGGGAG